AGGACGAACGCUGGCGGCGUGCUUAACACAUGCAAGUCGAACGAGGUGCUUGCACCUAGUGGCGAACGGGUGAGUAACACGUGAGCAACCUGCCCUUGGCUCUGGGAUAGCCUCCGGAAACGGGGAUUAAUACCGGACAUGACCUUCUUCCGCAUGGUUGAAGGUGGAAAGUUUUUCGGCCAGGGAGGGGCUCGCGGCCUAUCAGCUUGUUGGAGGGGUAACGGCCCACCAAGGCGACGACGGGUAGCCGGCCUGAGAGGGCGACCGGCCACACUGGGACUGAGACACGGCCCAGACUCCUACGGGAGGCAGCAGUGGGGAAUAUGCGCAAUGGGGGAAACCCUGACGCAGCGACGCCGCGUGCGGGAUGAAGGCCUUCGGGUUGUAACCGCUUUCACCAGGGACGAAGCGAGAGUGACGGUACCUGGGGAAGAAGGCGCCGGCUAACUACGUGCCAGCAGCCGC
rnacentral:rRNA from 1 species